rnacentral:lncRNA from 1 species
UAGGGUGUUAGUAGUCUUUAGGGUGGUAGUAGUCUUCAGAGUGGUAGUAGUCUAGGGUGGUAGUAGUCUUUAGGGUGGUAGUAGUCUUGGGGUGGUAGUAGUCCUGGGGGUGGUAGUAGUCUUGGGGGUGGUAGUAGUCUUGGGGGUGGUAGUAGUCUUGGGGGUGGUAGUAGUCCUGGGGGUGGUAGUAGUCUUGGGGGUGGUAGUAGUCUUCAGGGUGGUAGUAGUCUUCAGGGUGGUAGUUGUCUUCAGGGUGAUAGGAGUCUUUAGGGUGGUAGGAGUCUUCAGGGUGGUAGUAGUCUUCAGGGUGGUAGCAGUCUUGGGGGUGGUAGUAGUCUUUGGUGUGUUAGUAGUCUUGGGGGUGGUAGUAGUCCUGGGGGUGGUAGUAGUCUUGGGGGUGGUAGUAGUCUUGGGGGUGGUAGUAGUCCUGAGGGUGGUAGUAGUCUUGGGGGUGGUAGUAGUCUUGGGGGUGGUAGUAGUCUAGGGCGGUAGUAGUCUUUAGGGUGGUAGUAGUCUUUAGGGUGGUAGUAGUCUUCAGAGUGGUAGUAGUCUAGGGUGGUAGUAGUCUUUAGGGUGGUAGUAGUCUAGGGCGGUAGUAGUCCUGGGGGUGUUAGUAUUCUUUAGGGUGGUAGUAGUCUGGGGUGGUAGUAGUCUUUAGGGUGGUAGUAGUCUUUAGGGUGGUAGUAGUCUAGGGUGGUAGUAGUCUUUAGGGUGGUAGUAGUCUAGGGUGGUAGUAGUCUUUAGCGUGGUAGUAGUCUUCAGAGUGGUAGUAGUCUAGGGUGGUAGUAGUCUUUAGGGUGGUAGUAGUCUUGAGAGUGGUAGUAGUCUAGGGUGGUAGUAGUCUUUAGGGUGGUAGUUGUCUAGGGCGGUAGUAGUCCUGGGGGUGUUAGUAUUUUUUAGGGUGGUAGUAGUCUUGGGGUGGUGGUAGUCCUGGUGGUGGUAGUAGUCUUUAGGGUGGUAGUAGUCUUUAGGGUGGUAGUAGUCUAGGGUGGUAGUAGUCUUUAGGGUGGUAGUAGUCUUCAGAGUGGUAGUAGUCUAGGGUGGUAGUAGUCUUUAGGGUGGUAGUAGUCUUGGGGUGGUAGUAGUCUUGGGUUGGUAGUAGUCUUGGGGGUGGUAGUAGUCUUGGGGGUGGUAGUAGUCUUUAGGGUGGUAGUAGUCUUGGGGUGGUAGUAGUCUUGGGGUGGUAGUAGUCUUGGGGUGGUAGUAGUCUUGGGGGUGGUAGUAGUCCUGGGGGUGGUAGUAGUCCUGGGGGUGGUAGUAGUCUUG